CCCCCACGCUUUCCACGUUCACACACCAAGAAUUUCCACAGUGGCCAGAGAAAGGUUGGAGGGCGGGAGAGGGAGGCGGUGGCUGCAGUUCUAGGCACCCGGGCAGUGCUCCCAGAGCCAAGAGUGGGGUAGCUGGGCUGGAGGGAGGGUAACGGAGGCCCAAGGUGCAAAGUCCCAUGGGCUCAGCCCUGGAGCAAAGCCAUGGCCUCUAAGCUCAGGCGAGUCAAGAACAAAGAGGGGUUGUGGGAUUAGACAGGUUCCAAUAGUAGCUUCAAACCCUUCUAGGGUGUGAUGGCCAAAGAGUCAGUUGCUUAGACAAUGACUUAAGGACCCUCCCCAAUCGGGUCUGGGAAGUAAAACACCUGUUGUUCCCCUUGGAGAUAUGAGGAACCUGAGGUUUCAGAAGGGCUCUUUCUACCCAAGCAAUACCCCGGCCUCGCGGGACCAGCAUGGGCCCAGCUCUGGCUGCAGCAAAGAGAGGACCAGAGACUUCCCUUUGCAGCCAGGAAAGGGGACAGCAUUAGGAAAGACCCGUUGGUUACUCAAUGCUUCCAGUGUUCUGAGAUCUAGGCUGCUGGCUCUCUAGACUCUCAACAGGACGCCGGUGGAGGAGCCACAAGGGCCCAUAUUGUCCCUUUAAGAAAGAAUGUUGGGACGCCUAGGUGGCUCAGCAGUUUGGCGCCUGCCUUUCGCCCUGCCCCAGAUGUGAUCUUGGAGUUCCAGCAUCGGGUUCCACGUCCGGCUCCCUGCAUGGAGCCUGCUUCUCCCUCUGCCUAUGUCUCUGCCUCUCUCUCUCUCUGUGUCUCUCAUGAAUAAAUAAAUAAAUAAAACCUUAAAAAAGAAAAAGAAAAAAUGUUGGGUCUGUCCCCAGGAAUGUACCCUAAUAUCCUUCCCAACAAAUCAUCGGAGGCUCACAGCCCAGGCCAUCCUACCCCAGGCCCAUCUCGCUGUCCCCGGCAGAAGUCUCCAGCCCACUCCAGGGAGAUACAGCCAAGAGCCAGAAGAGAAAUGGACACAUCAGAGAGAAAAUCUGAUGGCAGGAGUUCCGUGGAAGAAGCCAUCAGGUGAGGAAUGCUUUUGCAUCAUUCAGAAGCACUCUUCAGGGCAGCCCCGGUGGCACAGUGGUUUAGCGCCGUCUGCAGCCCAGGGUGUGAUCCUGGAGACCCUAGAUCGAGUCCCACGUCAGGAUCUUUGUAUGAUGCCUGCUUCUCCCUCUGCCUCUCUCUGUGUGUGUCUAUCAUGAAUAAAUAAAAUCUUAAAAAAAAAAAAAAAAGAACU
rnacentral:lncRNA from 12 species